rnacentral:piRNA from 1 species
UGAUACGAAGAACGUUUGAGUGGUCUGGAU